CGAGAUAAAUCCAAACCUGCCGUAAGACAGGGACGGAAAGCUACGGAUCUACAAAGAUAGCCGAGCUGCCAUGA
rnacentral:ncRNA from 1 species